rnacentral:rRNA from 1 species
AUGAAUACCUACGGAUUCCACCUCCUUGACUUCACCCCCAAUGCCGUUCUGACCAUGGCAGUUUUCGCACAUCUCUGUGAAAACUUUGUCGGAGUCCUUCCCAACGUAGCCCUCUUCCGCCACUUCUUCAUACCCCGAGUAGAGAGAGGGAGCCAUUAUCCGGCGGAAUCGCCUGGAUCUCGAGGGACGGCAAGAAAGAAACCUAUCUGGAGGGAUAAUUCCACGGCAAGUGGGAGGAGUGGAGAGCAGACUGGUGCUGGAUUGACGAGGAGAACCCGCAGGCAUUCACCACCCGGCGCCAAACCCCAGUAG